rnacentral:rRNA from 1 species
GACGAACGCUGGCGGCGUGCUUAACACAUGCAAGUCGAACGGAAAGGCCCUGCUUUUGUUGGGUGCUCGAGUGGCGAACGGGUGAGUAACACGGGAGUAACCUGCCCUUUACUUUGGGAUAACUUCAGGAAACUGGGGCUAAUACCGGAUAGGAGCUCCUGCUGCAUGGGGUGGGUUGGAAAGUUUCGGCGGUUGGGGAUGGACUCGCGGCUUAGCAGCUUGUUGGUGGGGUAGUGGCUUACCAAGGCUUUGACGGGUAGCCGGCCUGAGAGGGUGACCGGCCACCUUGGGACUGCGAUACGGCCCAGACUCCUACGGGCGGCAGCAGUGGGGAAUAUUGCACAAUGGGCGGACGCCUGAUGCAGCAACGCCGCGUGCGUGAUGCCGGCCUUCGGGUUGUAAACCGCUUUCGCAUGUGACGAAGCGUGAGUGACGGUAAUGGGUAAAGAAGCACCGGCUAACUACGUG